rnacentral:rRNA from 1 species
GACGAACGCUGGCGGCGUGCCUAAUACAUGCAAGUCGAACGCAGUGGGGACGGGUGAGUAACACGUGGGUAACCUCCCAUCAGAGGGGAUAACACUUGGAAACAGGUGCUAAACCGAUACUGAUGGAUGGACCCGCGGUGCAUUAGCUAGUAGGUGAGGUAACGGCUCACCUAGGGGAUGAUCAGUAGCCGGACUGAGAGGUUGAUGGGGCGCAUUGGGACUGAGACACGGCCCCGACUCCUACGGGAGGCAGCAGUGGGGAAUAUUGCACAAUGGGCGCAAGCCUGAGGCAGCCAUGCCGCGUGUAUGAAGAAGGCCUUAGGGUUGUAAAGUACUUUCAGCGGGGAGGCGUUACCCGCAGAAGAAGCACCGGCUAACUCCGUGCCAGCAGCCGCGGUAAUAC